rnacentral:rRNA from 1 species
CACGUAGGGGGCAAGCGUUGUCCGGAUUUAUUGGGCGUAAAGAGCUCGUAGGCGGCUCAGUAAGUCAGGUGUGAAACCUCCAGGCUCAACCUGGAGACGCCACCUGAUACUGCUGUGGCUAGAGUCCGGUAGGGGAGCGUGGAAUUCCUGGUGUAGCGGUGAAAUGCGCAGAUAUCAGGAGGAACACCGGUAGCGAAGGCGGUUCUCUGGGCAUUACCUGACGCUGAGGAGCGAAAGCAUGGGGAGCGAACAGG